AGGGCUGUGGCUCAGUGGUGUAGUAUUUGCUUGGCAUGCCAAAAGCCCCAGGUUCAAUCCUUGGCAACUCUA
rnacentral:tRNA from 1 species